rnacentral:rRNA from 1 species
CCUACGGGUGGCAGCAGUGGGGAAUAUUGCACAAUGGGGGAAACCCUGAUGCAGCGACGCCGCGUGAGUGAAGAAGUAUUUAGGUAUGUAAAGCUCUAUCAGCCGGGAAGCAGCACGACGGUACCUGACUCGGAAGCACCGGCUAACUACGUGCCAGCAGCCGCGGUAAUACGUAGGGAGCAAGCGUUAUCCGGAUUUACUGGGUGUAAAGGGAGCGUAGACGGUAUGGCAAGUCUGAAGUGAAAGCCCAGGGCUUAACCCUGGGACUGCUGUGGAAACUGUUAGACUAGAGUGCGGGAGAGGUAAGUGGAAUGCGUAGUGUAGCGGUGAAAUGCGUAGAUAUUACGAGGAACACCAGUGGCGAAGGCAGCUUACUGGACAGUAACUGACGUUGAGGCUCGAAAGCGUGGGGAGCAAACAGGAUUAGAUACCCGGGUAGUC